GCAGUCGAAGGGCAUCGGGGAGAGUGCCUGCACUCUCCGCCGGCGACUGGCGCUCGGGUGAGUAACACGUAUGCAACCUGCCCUCCACAGGGGGACAACCUUCCGAAAGGGAGGCUAAUCCCGCGUAUAUCCCCCGGGGGCAUCCCCGGGGGAGGAAAGGAAUACCGGUGGAGGAUGGGCAUGCGGCGCAUUAGGCAGUAGGCGGGGUAACGGCCCACCUAGCCGACGAUGCGUAGGGGUUCUGAGAGGAAGGUCCCCCACACUGGUACUGAGACACGGACCAGACUCCUACGGGAGGCAGCAGUGAGGAAUAUUGGUCAAUGGGCGGGAGCCUGAACCAGCCAAGCCGCGUGAAGGAAGAAGGCGCCAGGCGUCGUAAACUUCUUUUGUCGGGGAACAAAGGGCGCCACGUGUGGCGUUGUGAGUGUACCCGAAGAAAAAGCAUCGGCUAACUCCGUGCCAGCAGCCGCGGUAAUACGGAGGAUGCGAGCGUUAUCCGGAUUUAUUGGGUUUAAAGGGUGCGUAGGCGGUCCGGAAAGUCAGCGGUAAAAGCCCGGGGCUCAACCCCGGCGAGCCGUUGAAACUGUCGGACUAGAGACGGCGAGAAGUACGCGGAAUGCGCGGUGUAGCGGUGAAAUGCAUAGAUAUCGCGCAGAACUCCGAUUGCGAAGGCAGCGUACCGGCGCCGGACUGACGCUGAGGCACGAAAGCGUGGGUAUCGAACAGGAUUAGAUACCCUGGUAGUCCACGCAGUAAACGAUGAAUGCCGGCUGUCCGGUCCGAGUGAGGGCUGGGUGGCGAAGCGAAAGCGAUAAGCAUUCCACCUGGGGAGUACGCCGGCAACGGUGAAACUCAAA
rnacentral:rRNA from 1 species